AACGAACGCUGGCGGCAUGCCUAACACAUGCAAGUCGAACGAGACCUUCGGGUCUAGUGGCGCACGGGUGCGUAACGCGUGGGGACCUGCCCUUAGGUUCGGAAUAACUCCCCGAAAGGGGUGCUAAUACCGGAUAAUGUCUUCGGACCAAAGAUUUAUCGCCUUUGGAUGGGCCCGCGUUGGAUUAGCUAGUUGGUAGGGUAAAAGCCUACCAAGGCGACGAUCCAUAGCUGGUCUGAGAGGAUGAUCAGCCACACUGGGACUGAGACACGGCCCAGACUCCUACGGGAGGCAGCAGUGGGGAAUAUUGGACAAUGGGCGAAAGCCUGAUCCGGCAAUGCCGCGUGAGUGAUGAAGGCCUUAGGGUUGUAAAGCUCUUUUACCCGGGAUGAUAAUGACAGUACCGGGAGAAUAAGCUCCGGCUAACUCCGUG
rnacentral:rRNA from 1 species